GAAUCUUGCGCAAUGGAGGAAACUCUGACGCAGCCACGCCGCGUGCAGGAUGAACCCCCUAUGGGGCGUAAACUGCUUUUCUGCGGGAAGAACAGGCUACCCGGUAGCCCUUGACGGUACCGCAGGAAUAAGGACCGGCUAACUCCGUUCCAGCAGCCGCGGUAAGACGGAGGGUCCAAGCGUUGUCCGGAAUCAUUGGGUGCAAAGGGUGUGUAGGCGGGAGGGCAAGUCUAGGGUGAAAUCCCGCGGCUUAACCGCGGAACUGCCCCGGAUACUGCUUUUCUUGAGUCCCGGAGAGGCCACUAGAAUUCGUGGUGUAGCGGUGAAAUGCGUAGAUAUCACGAGGAAUACCGGUUGCGUAGGCGGGUAGCUGGACGGCGCCUGACGCUGAGGCACGAAAGCGUGGGGAGCAAACAGG
rnacentral:rRNA from 1 species